rnacentral:rRNA from 1 species
UACGAAGGGGCUAGCGUUGCUCGGAAUUACUGGGCGUAAAGCGCACGUAGGCGGUCUUUUAAGUCGGGGGUGAAAUCCUGGAGCUCAACUCCAGAACUGCCUCGAUACUGGAAGACUCGAGUCCGGGAGAGGUGAGUGGAACUGCGAGUGUAGAGGUGAAAUUCGUAGAUAUUCGCAAGAACACCAGUGGCGAAGGCGGCUCACUGGCCCGGUACUGACGCUGAGGUGCGAAAGCGUGGGAGC